rnacentral:rRNA from 1 species
CCUACGUGAGGCAGCAGUGAGGAAUAUUGGUCAAUGGCCGUAAGGCUGAACCAGCCAAGUAGCGUGAGGGAAGACUGCCCUAUGGGUUGUAAACCUCUUUUAUGCGGGGACAAAGGUGUCCACGAGUGGAUGUUUGCAGGUACCGCAUGAAUACGGACCGGCUAAUUCCGUGCCAGCAGCCGCGGUAAUAAGGAAGGUCCGGGCGUUAUCCGGAUUUAUUGGGUUUAAAGGGAGCGUAGGCCGGUCUUUAAGCGUGCCGUGAAAUUUUGUGGCUCAACCAUGAGAGUGCGGCGCGAACUGGAGACAUUGAGUGCGCGGAAGGCAGGCGGAAUUCGUGGUGUAGCAGUGAAAUGCGUAGAUAUCACGAGGAACCCCGAUUGCGAAGGCAGCCUGCCGCAGCGUUACUGACGCUGAAGCUCGAAAGCGCGGGUAGCGAACAGGAUUAGAUACCCUAGUAGUC